AACGAACGCUGGCGGCAGGCCUAACACAUGCAAGUCGAGCGGACCUUUCGGGGUCAGCGGCGGACGGGUGAGUAACGCGUGGGAAUAUGCCCUUCUCUACGGAAUAGUCCUGGGAAACUGGGGGUAAUACCGUAUACGCCCUUUGGGGGAAAGAUUUAUCGGGGAAGGAUUAGCCCGCGUUGGAUUAGGUAGUGGGUGGGGGAAUGGCCUACCAAGCCGACGAUCCAUAGCUGGUUUGAGAGGAUGAUCAGCCACACUGGGACUGAGACACGGCCCAGACUCCUACGCGAGGCAGCAGUGGGGGAUCUUAGACAAUGGGGGCAACCCUGAUCUAGCCAUGCCGCGUGAGUGAUGAAGGCCUUAGGGUUGUAAAGCUCUUUCAGCUGGGAAGAUAAUGACGGUACCAGCAGAAGAAGCCCCGGCUAACUCCGUG
rnacentral:rRNA from 1 species